AGCAGCCGCGGUAAUUCCAGCUCCAAUAGCGUAUAUUAAAGUUGUUGCAGUUAAAAAGCUCGUAGUUGAAUUUCGGGGUCAGUAGGCUGGUCGUGCCACAGGUACGUACUGGUCUCACUGAUUCCUCCUUCCUGAUGAACCGUAAUGCCAUUAAUUUGGUGUUGCGGGGAAACUGGACUGUUACUUUGAAAAAUUGGAGUGUUUAAAGCAGGCUAACGCUUGAAUACAUUAGCAUGGAAUAAUGAAAUAGGACGUUCGAUCCUAUUUUGUUGGUUUCUAGGAUUGACGUAAUGAUUAAUAGGGAUAGUUGGGGGCAUUAGUAUUCAAUUGUCAGAGGUGAAAUUCUUGGAUUUAUUGAAGACUAACUACUGCGAAAGCAUUUGCCAAGGAUGUUUUCAUUAAUCAAGAACGAAAGUUAGGGGAUCGAAGACGAUCAGAUACCGUCGUAGUCUUAACCAUAAACUAUGCCGACUAGGAAUCGGAUGAUGUUUAAUUUUUAAUGACUCA
rnacentral:rRNA from 1 species